GGCCGUAUGGAGUAUAGCAAAGUGGUAAGGCAUCGGUUUUUGGUACCGGCAUGCAAAGGUUCGAAUCCUUUUACUCCAGA
rnacentral:tRNA from 1 species